UUUCCGUAGGUGAACCUGCGGAAGGAUCAUUAAUGAGUUGUCAUGGGGUUCGAUGCUGGCAGCCAAUUUUUGGAUGCAUGUGCUUGCCCUAACAAUCAUCUUCCAAACACCUGUGCACAUUUUUGAGGGAGUCUUGAGUUGGUUGCCGCUCUUGGGUGAUUUUCUCACAUUCCCUUAAAUCAUUAUACGCUAUUAACUAUGUUGAACGUGCUCUGUGCCGCAAGGCUAUUAAUAUAGUACAACUUUUAACAACGGAUCUCUUGGCUCUC
rnacentral:misc_RNA from 1 species